GCCGUAACUUCGGGAGAAGGCACGCUGACACGUAGGUGAAGUGAUUUACUCAUGGAGCUGAAGUCAGUCGAAGAUACCAGCUGGCUGCAACUGUUUAUUAAAAACACAGCACUGUGCAAACACGAAAGUGGACGUAUACGGUGUGACGCCUGCCCGGUGCCGGAAGGUUAAUUGAUGGGGUCAGCGCAAGCGAAGCUCCUGAUCGAAGCCCCGGUAAACGGCGGCCGUAACUAUAACGGUCCUAAGGUAGCGAAAUUCCUUGUCGGGUAAGUUCCGACCUGCACGAAUGGCGUAAUGAUGGCCAGGCUGUCUCCACCCGAGACUCAGUGAAAUUGAACUCGCUGUGAAGAUGCAGUGUACCCGCGGCAAGACGGAAAGACCCCGUGAACCUUUACUAUAGCUUGACACUGAACAUUGAGCCUUGAUGUGUAGGAUAGGUGGGAGGCUUUGAAGCGUGGACGCCAGUCUGCAUGGAGCCGGCCUUGAAAUACCACCCUUUAAUGUUUGAUGUUCUAACGUGGACCCGUGAUCCGGGUUGCGGACAGUGUCUGGUGGGUAGUUUGACUGGGGCGGUCUCCUCCUAAAGAGUAACGGAGGAGCACGAAGGUUGGCUAAUCCUGGUCGGACAUCAGGAGGUUAGUGCAAUGGCAUAAGCCAGCUUGACUGCGAGCGUGACGGCGCGAGCAGGUGCGAAAGCAGGUCAUAGUGAUCCGGUGGUUCUGAAUGGAAGGGCCAUCGCUCAACGGAUAAAAGGUACUCCGGGGAUAACAGGCUGAUACCGCCCAAGAGUUCAUAUCGACGGCGGUGUUUGGCACCUCGAUGUCGGCUCAUCACAUCCUGGGGCUGAAGUAGGUCCCAAGGGUAUGGCUGUUCGCCAUUUAAAGUGGUACGCGAGCUGGGUUUAGAACGUCGUGAGACAGUUCGGUCCCUAUCUGCCGUGGGCGCUGGAGAACUGAGGGGGGCUGCUCCUAGUACGAGAGGACCGGAGUGGACGCAUCACUGGUGUUCGGGUUGUCAUGCCAAUGGCACUGCCCGGUAGCUAAAUGCGGAAGAGAUAAGUGCUGAAAGCAUCUAAGCACGAAACUUGCCCCGAGAUGAGUUCUCCCUGAGACUUAGAGUCUCCUGAAGGAACGUUGAAGACGACGACGUUGAUAGGCCGGGUGUGUAAGCGCAGCGAUGCGUUGAGCUAACCGGUACUAAUGAACCGUGAGGCUUAACCUUACAACGCCGAAG
rnacentral:rRNA from 1 species